ACGUUUUUGUCGAAAGUCAUUGAUGAAGAAGGCUUCAGCUGAUUCUGGUGGUGGAAGAAUCAACCAGCUCGUCUUCUUAGAAGAAUGAAUGCAGCGGAAUUAUGAUGAUGAUCGGAGGAUGCAGUAACGUGUUGAAGCCACUCUAAAAAGGCGUUCGGUGGCUGGAAUGGAGAAGAUGUAAUGAUUUGGUGAUGAAGAUAAGGAUGAAACAGUGGUUGGUGAUGGAGAUUAUGAAGCACACUUUCAAAUUGUGGUGUUGUGAAAAUUAGGAAGAGAAAUGGAGGCAGAGAAUUGGUGUUGAAAUGUAAUGCGUAUGGGUGGAGAUAUGCUAGGAAUGGAAGCCUAGCUAGGGAGAGAGGCUAGAGGAAACUCUCAAGCUCUCUCUCGGUGACCUUCAACAAGAAGAAUGUUCUGGACAAAAUCAACAGAAUUCAAUUCUUCAUUCAAAUCAAAGGUGUCCACAAUUUUGGAGAAGAGUGGGAUUUAUAGUAGCACCCAAGCUCUCUCACGUGAAUACAAGCAAUGCUGAUGAUCAACAGCGUGGAAUGGAUCAGCUGCCACGUGUUGGAGGUGUGGGAAGCGUGCAACAAGGCCUGGGUUGCCAGCUAUAGGCGUCACAUGUAAGGUGAUAUUUCAGUCGCUGGGCCUAAACCCUCUUCCGCUGGGCGCCAGAUUUCCUUCUUCUUCAGCCAAGUUGUUGGGUAGUGAUUCAAGUGGGCUUCCUAGAGUACCUUGCUAGCCAAUUGUAUAAUGCACCCUAGUGGAGAUUUUUUUCUCCACUCUUGAAGUUUCCUUGCUUCUUGAUUCAUCAAGCUUCUUUGGCUAGAUUCAUGAUUUCCUAGCUUUAUUAAACCAUACAAAACACAUACAACUAUAUUAAAGAAAAUCCUUCUAAGACUUAGAGAAAGAAAGUCAAGAAGAAGUCUUUCUUUACUUCCCUUUCUUAGCCUUAGCUUUAGUUAGUAUUCCUUUGAAUGGAAUGCCCUAAAUGGGUUUCCAUCAUAC
rnacentral:lncRNA from 1 species